rnacentral:rRNA from 1 species
AAGGGCACCACAAGAACGCGUGGAGCAUGUGGCUUAAUUUGACUCAACGCGGGAAAUCUUACCGGGUCCGGACACACUGAGGAUUGACAGGUAUUAUUAAAUAACUACAUAUUUUAUAUGUUAGUUAUUUAUGUUAAAUAUGCUAGUCCUUUCAUGAUUAUGUGAUAGGUGGUGCAUGGCCGUUCUUAGUUCGUGGAGUGAUCUGUCUGCUUAAUUGCGUUUCACUAAGGGCUUAUAAAUUACGUGUGUUGCAGGUACUUUGACCCCUUGAGAUUGAAAUAUUAUUUCAAGUGCGUGUCUUAGUUUGCUUUUGCUCGCACAAUUAAGUCCUGAAAGCAACGAACGUGACCGCAACCUCUUGUUGCCUUUAUCCCAAAAAUCACGUCUCGUAAAUUUUAUUUACGUGCGUGGUAAAAAAAGGCCUUUAAACUAGAGGGACCGCUGUAAUCUUUUUAAACCAGAGGAAGGUUGCGGCAAUAACAGGUCUGUGAUGCCCUUAGAUGUUCCGGGCUGCACACGUGCUACAAUGAUUAUUGCAGUGAGCAUCUCAUAUUUAUACACCGCAUGCGCGUGUCCAUAUAAACUUGCUCGCUUAUGCUUGUCAUGUUUUAUAUGUGUUACAUUGUGCGCGGUAAAGCCUACUUCGAAAGUAAGUGGGUAAUCAAUUAGAAGUAAUGAUUUCCUUUUUAUAGCACACAUAUAUGCGGCAUCUUUACCCGGGUUAAGCUUGUCUUAACUUUUGUGUGUAUCGAUGUUUUUUCCGCAUGUGCAAUUGUCAAUUCAUGGUGGGGACAGACCAUUGUUAAUUGUUGGUCUCGGUCUUAACUAGGAAUGCCUUGUACGGGUCUUUGGUUCAACAAACCACCCGGAAUACGUCCCUGCCCUUUGUACACACCGCCCGUCGCUCUUACCGAUGGACUUCUCUGUGAGUUUGAGGGACUGGGUACUGUAAAAUUUAUUUUACUAUCACCUAUGGAAACUUAAACGAACAGUGUGGUCUAAAGGAAAGAGAAGUCGAACAAGGCA